AUGAACGCUGGCGGCGUGCCUCAUACAUGCAAGUCGAGCGAACAGACGAGGAGCUUGCUCCUCUGACGUUAGCGGCGGACGGGUGAGUAACACGUGGAUAACCUACCUAUAAGACUGGGAUAACUUCGGUAAACCGGAGCUAAUACCGGAUAAUAUAUUGAACCGCAUGGUUCAAUAGUGAAAGACGGUUUUGCUGUCACUUAUAGAUGGAUCCGCGCCGCAUUAGCUAGUUGGUAAGGUAACGGCUUACCAAGGCAACGAUGCGUAGCCGACCUGAGAGGGUGAUCGGCCACACUGGAACUGAGACACGGUCCAGACUCCUACGGGAGGCAGCAGUAGGGAAUCUUCCGCAAUGGGCGAAAGCCUGACGGAGCAACGCCGCGUGAGUGAUGAAGGUCUUCGGAUCGUAAAACUCUGUUAUUAGGGAAGAACAAAUGUGUAAGUAACUAUGCACGUCUUGACGGUACCUAAUCAGAAAGCCACGGCUAACUACGUG
rnacentral:rRNA from 1 species